UGCAAGUCGAACGGUGAACACGGAGCUUGCUCUGUGGGAUCAGUGGCGAACGGGUGAGUAACACGUGAGCAACCUGCCCCUGACUCUGGGAUAAGCGCUGGAAACGGCGUCUAAUACUGGAUACGAGUAGCGACCGCAUGGUCAGUUACUGGAAAGAUUUAUUGGUUGGGGAUGGGCUCGCGGCCUAUCAGCUUGUUGGUGAGGUAAUGGCUCACCAAGGCGUCGACGGGUAGCCGGCCUGAGAGGGUGACCGGCCACACUGGGACUGAGACACGGCCCAGACUCCUACGGGAGGCAGCAGUGGGGAAUAUUGCACAAUGGGCGCAAGCCUGAUGCAGCAACGCCGCGUGAGGGAUGACGGCCUUCGGGUUGUAAACCUCUUUUAGCAGGGAAGAAGCGAAAGUGACGGUACCUGCAGAAAAAGCGCCGGCUAACUACGUGCCAGCAGCCGCGGUAAUACGUAGGGCGCAAGCGUUAUCCGGAAUUAUUGGGCGUAAAGAGCUCGUAGGCGGUUUGUCGCGUCUGCUGUGAAAUCCGGAGGCUCAACCUCCGGCCUGCAGUGGGUACGGGCAGACUAGAGUGCGGUAGGGGAGAUUGGAAUUCCUGGUGUAGCGGUGGAAUGCGCAGAUAUCAGGAGGAACACCGAUGGCGAAGGCAGAUCUCUGGGCCGUAACUGACGCUGAGGAGCGAAAGGGUGGGGAGCAAACAGGCUUAGAUACCCUGGUAGUCCACCCCGUAAACGUUGGGAACUAGUUGUGGGGUCCAUUCCACGGAUUCCGUGACGCAGCUAACGCAUUAAGUUCCCCGCCUGGGGAGUACGGCCGCAAGGCUAAAACUCAAAGGAAUUGACGGGGACCCGCACAAGCGGCGGAGCAUGCGGAUUAAUUCGAUGCAACGCGAAGAACCUUACCAAGGCUUGACAUAUACGAGAACGGGCCA
rnacentral:rRNA from 1 species